rnacentral:rRNA from 1 species
AGAAUCAACGCUGGCGGCGUGCCUAACACAUGCAAGUCGAACGCGACUGGGGGCUUCGGUUCCCAGUUGAGUGGCGAACGGGUGAGUAACACGUGGGUGAUCUACCUUUGAGUGGGGAUAACGUCCCGAAAGGGACGCUAAUACCGCAUGACGUUCUGGGUUUGAAGACCUGGAAACCAAAGCCGGGGACCGCAAGGCCUGGCGCUUGGAGAGGAGCCCGCGUCCGAUUAGCUAGUUGGCGGGUAACGGCCCACCAAGGCGACGAUCGGUA